GUUGAACGCUGGCGGCAGGCCUAACACAUGCAAGUCGAACGAGGGGCGGACGGGUGAGUAAUGUCUGGGAAACUGCCCGAUGGAAGGGGAUCACAACUGGAAAAGGUAGCUAAUACCGCAUACCAUCGUAUGAGCCCCGAGGGGAUUGGCUUGUAGGUGAGGUAACGGCUCACCUAGGCGACGAUCCCUAGCUGGUCGGAGAGGAUGAACAGCAACACUGGAACUGAGACACGGGCCAGACUCCUACGGGAGGCAGCAGUGGGGAAUAUUUCACAAUGGGCGCAAGCCUGAUGCAGCAAUGACGCGGGUAUGAAGAAGGCCUUCGGGUUGUAAAGUACUUUCAGCGGGGAGGCGUUACCCGCAGAAGAAGCACCGGCUAACUCCGUGCCAGCAGCCGCGGUAAUUC
rnacentral:rRNA from 1 species